rnacentral:rRNA from 1 species
AUACGGAGGGUGCAAGCGUUACUCGGAAUCACUGGGCGUAAAGCGCGCGCAGGCGGGCUGAUAAGUUGGAUGUGAAAGCCUACGGCUCAACCGUAGAACUGCAUCCAAAACUGUCAGUCUAGAGUCUGGGAGGGGAAGAUGGAAUUAGUUGUGUAGGGGUAAAAUCCGUAGAGAUAACUAGGAAUACCAAAAGCGAAGGCGAUCUUCUGGAACAGUACUGACGCUGAGGCGCGAAAACGUGGGGAGCAAACAGGAUUAGAAACCCUAGUAGUCC